GACGAACGCUGGCGGCGUGCCUAAUACAUGCAAGUAGGACGCAGUUGUGAACGGUUGAGUAACGCGUAGGUCACUGCCUAUUAGAGGGGGAUAACUAUUGGAAACGAUAGCUAAUACCGCAUACUAGUAGUUGGACCUUCGUUGGAUUAGCUAGUAGGUAGGGUAAUGGCCUAACUCGGCAACGAUACAUAGCCGACCUGAGGAGGUGAUCGGCCAAAAUGGGACUGAGAACCGGCCCAGACUCAUACGGGAGGCAGCAGUAGGGAAUUUGCGGAAAUGGGGGGAAACCUGACCGAGCAACGCCGCGUGAGUGGAGAAGGGUUUUGGAUCGGAAAGCUCUGUUGUUAAGGAAGCGGUACUUAAAGAGAAAGGGACGGCUAACUACGUGCCAGCAGCCGCGGUAAUUC
rnacentral:rRNA from 1 species